AGGAUACGGUUAACGGAGCGAAAGCGACGUUCAACCUCAAAAGAAGCAGAGGGGGCUUAGUGGUGGGGUGACUGCGUACCUUUUGUAUAAUGGGUCAGCGACUUAUAUUCUGUAGCAAGGUUAACCGAAUAGGGGAGCCGGAGGGAAACCGAGUCUUAAUUGGGCGUUAAGUUGCAGGGUAUAGACCCGAAACCCGGUGAUCUAGCCAUGGGCAGGUUGAAGGUUGGGUAACACUAACUGGAGGACCGAACCGAC
rnacentral:rRNA from 3 species